rnacentral:other from 1 species
GUUUGAGAGGAGUAUCCAUUAAAACAAGGAUUGAAAC